rnacentral:rRNA from 1 species
UACGUAGGGUGCGAGCGUUAAUCGGAAUUACUGGGCGUAAAGCGUGCGCAGGCGGUUCGUUGUGUCGGCGGUGAAAGCCCGGGCUUAACCUGGGAAUGGCCGUCGAAACUGGCGAACUGGAGUGUGGCAGAGGGGGGUGGAAUUCCGCGUGUAGCAGUGAAAUGCGUAGAGAUGCGGAGGAACACCGAUGGCGAAGGCAGCCCCCUGGGCUGACACUGACGCUCAGGCACGAAAGCGUGGGGAGCAAACAGG